UCAAGCCUGGGCUAACCCCAGAACCUUGAUUGGCAGGAUUCAUGUGCCAGUGGCCCAUAGCAGGACCAGGAGCCAGGGUGUGGUGCUGAGAAGGGCAAACAACUUUCCCUGAGCCACUCGGCAAGUCACAGCAGAGUUGGAGUGCGGCCCCCAAACACUACACAAAACCUCCCAGGGCAACGUCAGCUGUCAUGAGAGUGGCCCAGAGGCAUCAUGUGAGGAAAAGGGACUUUGCGAUCUGUGCAUUGGGCUCCCAGGACACUUUCCAGUCCCUUCUUGCUUCCGGUAGUGGCAGCGUGGCUCAGACUUGGGAGCUCAGCGGACCCGGGCUCAUCCCCAGCUCUGCCACGCACUUUCCCGUGUGACCAUGGAUGAGCCAUUGGAGUCACUAUCUGCCUGACUGAACCCUUGGAAGUCUGAAGCAACACCCAACUUGACCCAGUUAGCCUGAAACCCGACCUUCCCAUCUGAGGGGGGCUGGCAGUCACCGUGUCUCAAUGUCACAGGAGGUGGGAA